GACAGAGGAUGCAAGUGUUAUCCGGAAUCACUGGGCGUAAAGCGUCUGUAGGUGGUUUAAAAAGUCUAUUGUUAAAAAUUGAAGCUUAACUUCAAAGAUGCAAUGGAAACUUUUAAACUUGAGUAUGGUAGGGGUAGAGGGAAUUUCCAGUGGAGCGGUGAAAUGCGUAGAUAUUGGAAAGACCACCAAUGGCGAAGGCACUCUACUGGGCCAUUACUGACACUGAGAGACGAAAGCUAGGGGAGCAAAUGGG
rnacentral:rRNA from 1 species